UCGUGCAACCGAGGUGCAAGGGCUGUCGCUGACCUUUUAAGGGUUGUGCACGCUCGAACACACUCUCACAUCCAUCUCACCCUUUUGUGCAUCACCGCGCGGGCCCUCCUUUGCAGGAGGGCUUGUGUUUUCACAUAAAACUCGAUACUGUGUAGGAUGUAUUUUCCAUUUGCGGACACACGCAAUCAAUA
rnacentral:misc_RNA from 1 species